AGUAAAAAAUAUUCAAAUAUAUAUAUAUAUAUAUAUAUGCUAUGCUCUUUGAGGUCCGGUCAAGGGAUUCCGUGUUCUAUGAAAUGAGUUUUCAGGGAAUGCCGAAAUGUGUUAAGAUAUGCAGAAGCCGUCAGCACGAAACAUGAAAUGAAUCUGAUGCUGAUGCUGAUGCUAAGCCAAAUGGAUUUGGCUACUCGCUGUGGUUAAUAAUUUCAAGAAUUGACACAAACUUAAUAAAUCACUCAGAAGGUCCCAAAAAAUGUUCCGAGCGACAAGGACAAGGACAAGGGAGCCUGCCACAAAACGAGCAAAUCGUGCAAUACUUGUUGGCUGUCAGGAUUGGUAACGUUUUCGAGUCUGUCGCUUGAAUGCCCGCCCGCCCGCGCCGUUCAGCGUCCGAUAAUAAUGCAAUUACUAUUUGAAAAAUGAUGUCUGACAGUUUUGAAUUUGUCAUGGUAUUUAUCAAAGUCGUCUCAGCCGCUCCAAAGCCGUUCGUGCCAUGUGCAGCAGACUGGUCCAGUGCAAGCUGAGGGAACCUGGAGCGUAGCUGGUGCGCCUCCAUAUGCUGCACGUUCAUGGGAAGUAAAAAAUUAACAUGUCACUUUCAUCGCAGGUUAAACCUGAACGGGGUACAAGACUUUUGAUAUCAACGCUACAAAAGACUUAUUAAUAGCUCUAUUAAUUUAGCGAUAAGAGCAACAUCUUUUUCAACUCUCUGUCGAGCAGCUUUAAUUCAGUUGUAUAAAGGAUUGGUACAAACAACGAUGAAACGACGACGACGAAGCGGGUCAUUUGUUAAACUACAGCAACUGCUGUUUCCCUCUUUGUCCUGAUUAUUUCAGAACGAAAAUGGCUUCGUUUUUUUUGUAUUAAGAAGCUGGAGCACAGUCGUAAAAA